AUGAUCCCACUUUUCUCGCUCACCCUCAUGCUCCUGCAUGCUCCUGCACCUGCGGUAUGCGACGACCUAGGUGCAGGCCUCUCUCCAGGCCAUCGCACAUACAUUGUGCUGCUGAGGCCACCCGUCGAAGCCGGCAGCGAGGACGACCACCGCUGGUGGCAGGAUUCCUUCCUGCCAACGCCUCUCGCCGGCUCCGAUGAGCCACGCCUCAUCCAUACCUACACUGAGGUCUUCACGGGGUUUGCCGUGAGGCUCACCGAAGACGACCUCGCCAUGGUGUCCCAGAGGAAGGAGUUUCUGCGGGCGUUUCCAGACCAUCUCUGGCACCCCAGCACCACUCACACUCCGAAGUUCCUCGGACUGGAGAAAGAUGCCGGGCUGUGGAGGGACACCAACUAUGGCCAAGGAGUCAUAAUCGGGGUUCUGGACACCGGCAUAUACGCAGAGCAUCCUUCCUUUGAUGACAGUGGCAUCCCGCCACCCCCAUCAAAGUGGAAGGGCUCAUGCCAUGGCGCUGCACGCUGCAACAACAAAUUGAUAGGUGCCAAAUUCCGUAAUCCCAGAGCAUAUGAUUCCGGAGACGACACAGGGCAUGGAACACAUACCUCGUCCACCGCAGCUGGGAACUUCGUCAGUCAUGCCUCAGCCCACGGCCUCGGCAGGGGCACAGCUGCCGGAAUUGCUCCACAUGCACACUUGGCCAUGUACAGGGUGUGCAUAAUUCUUGGGUGUGCAUCCUCGGACAUAGUUGCCGGGUUAGAUGAAGCUGUCAAGGAUGGUGUUGAUGUGCUUUCACUCUCCCUCGGCCCCUUUUUUGAUGUCAAUUUCACUGAUGAUCCGGUUGCCAUUGGCACAUUCAAUGCGGUAGCAAAGGGUGUUGUUGUCGUGGCUGCAGCUGGUAACAACGGGCCAAGGUCCUUUAUUGCCAACUCUGCACCAUGGUUGCUCACAGUUGCAGCUGGCUCGGUGGACCGAAGCUUCCAGACCGUUGUGCAGCUUGGCAACGGCGAGCACAUCAGUGGGGAAGCUUUCAAUCAGACUGCGAACUCAAGCUCCAACUCUGCUCCUCUGUAUUGGAACAAACACUGCAAGUCAUCAUUGGCUGGAAGAAAUGUGUCUGGCAAAAUUGUGAUUUGCCAUAACACAGGACCAAUGAAUGACACAGGGUCAGCAAUCAACCAGUCUGACAUCAGUGGCAUCAUGAGUGCCGGGGCGGCUGGCAUAGUCCUGAUCAACAGGAAAGAUGCUGGCUUCACCACCCUUCUGGAGGAUUAUGGCAGUGAUGUUGUGCAGGUGACCGUGGCUGAUGGCAACAAUAUCAUAGAGUAUGCAAGGGCAACAAGCAAAGCCAGUGCCAAAGUCAUAUACAAGAACACUGUGCUUGGUGUCCGUCCAUCUCCCACUGUCGCGGCAUUCUCAUCCCGCGGUCCCAGCACGUUCAGCCCCGGUGUGCUAAAGCCAGAUAUAUUAGCACCCGGGCUCAACAUCAUUGCUGCAUGGCCACCACUCACCAUUCUUGGAUCUGGGCCAUUCAACAUUAGAUCAGGGACAUCCAUGUCGACUCCACAUGUCAGUGGAAUCGCUGCGCUUGUCAAGAGCUCCCAUCCUGAUUGGUCUGCUGCUGCUAUCAAGUCAGCCAUCCUCACCACAGCUGACAUCACGGACAGCGCUGGUGGCCCAAUCUUGGACGAGCAGCAUCAGAGGGCAACCGCGUAUGCCAUGGGUGCUGGCCAUGCCAAUCCUAUAAAAGCUAUUGAUCCGGGCCUUGUGUAUGACCUUAGCAUCACUGAAUAUGCUGGCUACAUAUGUGCUCUCCUCGGUGAUCAAGGCUUGGCAACCAUUGCGCGUGCCCCGACGCUGUCCUGCAAAAUGCUUCCCAAGAUACCAGAGGCACAGUUGAACUACCCAUCCAUAACAGUGCCACUCAGGACAAGGCCAUUCACGGUGAACAGAACCGUUACAAAUGUGGGGCCAAUAAAUUCAGUAUACACACUGAAGAUGGAGGUUCCCAAGUCUCUCACAGUGCGAGUCUAUCCAGAGACGCUGGUGUUCUCCAAGGUUGGACAAAAGAAAACAUUCAGCAUUACGGUGAGCAGGCAUCGCAAUGUCGGGUCAAAGGCCUUGCAGGGAAGUUUGAGCUGGGUGUCCAAAAAACAUGUUGUGCGUAGUCCGAUCGUGGCUUCUCCUCUGUUGUAA
rnacentral:rRNA from 1 species